ACGACUGUGUUUUUUUGUGGUUUUGCAUUUUGUUCCCAUACUGUACCAAAAAUGAACCAAACCGUGACCUCAGAACCGAGGUACGUACCGAACCGUGAUUUUUGUGCGUUACACCCCUAAUAUUUAUAUAUACCUAUUGC